UGGGAUGUGGCUCAGGGGUUGAGUGGGUGCUUAGCAUGCACAAGACCCUGGGUUCCGUCCCUAGCACUGCAC
rnacentral:tRNA from 1 species